UACGAGGGGUGCGAGCGUUAUUCGGAAUUAUUGGGCGUAAAGGGUGUGUAGACGGUUUGUUAAGUCCACUGUUAAAUUCUUCAGCUUAACUGAAGGCGCGCGGUAGAUACUGGCAGACUUGAGGGUGGAAGAGAGAAGCGGAAUUCUCGGAGUAGCGGUAAAAUGCGUAGAUCUCGAGAGGAACACCAAUGGCGAAGGCAGCUUCUUGGUCCACAUCUGACGUUGAGGCACGAAAGCGUGGGGAGCAAACAGG
rnacentral:rRNA from 1 species